CCCUUAGAUGUUCUGGGCUGCACGCGCGCGACAAUGACGUUUGCAACGAGAUUGCGAGGCCGUCAGGUCGAGCUGAUCUUGCAAGCUGCGUCGUGAUAGGGACAGUCGAUUGCAAUUAUUCGACUCGAACGAGGAAUUCCUUGUAAUCGCGCAUCAUCAGUGCGCGCUGAAUACGUCCCUGCCCUUUGUACACACCGCCCGUCGCUCCUACCGAUUGGGUGAUCCGGUGAAUGUUUUGGAUCGGCUUCAAGUUGGUUCGCGCCUCUUGCUUGCUGUGAAAUCAUGUAAACCUUAUUGCUUAGAGGAAGGAGAAGUCGUAACA
rnacentral:rRNA from 1 species